GACGAACGCUGGCGGCGUGCUUAACACAUGCAAGUCGAACGAUGAAGCCGGAGCUUGCUCUGGUGAAUUAGUGGCGAACGGGUGAGUAACACGUGAGUAACCUGCCCUUGACUCUGGGAUAACUGCGGGAAACUGUAGCUAAUACCGGAUACGACCCUCGGAGGCAUCUCCUGGGGGUGGAAAGAAUUUCGGUCAAGGAUGGACUCGCGGCCUAUCAGCUAGUUGGUGAGGUAAAGGCUCACCAAGGCGACGACGGGUAGCCGGCCUGAGAGGGUGACCGGCCACACUGGGACUGAGACACGGCCCAGACUCCGACGGGAGGCAGCAGUGGGGAAUAUUGCACAAUGGGCGCAAGCCUGAUGCAGCAACGCCGCGUGAGGGAUGACGGCCUUCGGGUUGUAAACCUCUUUUAGUAGGGAAGAAGCGACAGUGACGGUACCUGCAGAAAAAGCACCGGCUAACUACGUGCCAGCAGCCGCCGUAA
rnacentral:rRNA from 1 species